rnacentral:rRNA from 1 species
AUUGAACGCUGGCGGCAUGCUUUACACAUGCAAGUCGAACGGUAACAGGCCGCCAGGUGCUGACGAGUGGCGAACGGGUGAGUAAUGCAUCGGAACAUGCCCAGUCGUGGGGGAUAACUACUCGAAAGAGUAGCUAAUACCGCAUACGAUCUAUGGAUGAAAGCGGGGGACCGUAAGGCCUCGCGCGAUUGGAGCGGCCGAUGUCAGAUUAGGUAGUUGGUGGGGUAAAGGCUCACCAAGCCAACGAUCUGUAGCUGGUCUGAGAGGACGACCAGCCACACUGGGACUGAGACACGGCCCAGACUCCUACGGGAGGCAGCAGUGGGGAAUUUUGGACAAUGGGCGCAAGCCUGAUCCAGCAAUGCCGCGUGCAGGAAGAAGGCCUUCGGGUUGUAAACUGCUUUUGUACGGAACGAAACGGCUCUGGUUAAUACCCGGGGCUAAUGACGGUACCGUAAGAAUAAGCACCGGCUAACUACGUG